AUUGAACGCUGGCGGCAGGCUUAACACAUGCAAGUCGAACGAGUGGCGGACGGGUGAGUAAUGCUUGGGAAUCUCGCUUAUGGAGGGGGAUAACUCCGGGAAACUGUAGCUAAUACCGCGUACCAUCGGAUGAGCCCCACUGGGAUUAGGUUGUUGGUUAGGUAACGGCUGACCAAGCCGAUGAUCUCUAGCUGGUCUGAGAGGAUGACCAGCGAACAUGGGACGGAGAAACGGCCCAGAUUCCUAAGGGAGGCAGCAGUGGGGAAUAGUGAGCAAUGGGGGCAACCUGACGCAGCCAUGCCGCGUGAAUGAAGAAGGCAGUAGGGUUGUAAAGUUCUUUCGGUAGCGAGGCGUUACCUACAGAAGAAGCACCGGCUAACUCCGUGCCAGCAGCCGCGGUAAUUC
rnacentral:rRNA from 1 species